UACGAAGGGGGCUAGCGUUGUUCGGAAUUACUGGGCGUAAGGCGUGCGCAGGCGGCUCAUCAAGUCAGAGGUGAAAGCCCAGGGCUCAACCCUGGAACUGCCUUUGAAACUGUUGGGCUUGAGUACGGGAGAGGUGAGUGGAAUUCCCAGUGUAGAGGUGAAAGUCGUAGAUAUUGGGAAGAACACCGGUGGCGAAGGCGGCUCACUGGCUCGUAACUGACGCUCAGGCGCGACAGCGUGGGGAUCAAACAGG
rnacentral:rRNA from 1 species